GAAGAAAGUGUCCAUUCAACUAGUUCAUGAAUCUGCCAAAUUUAUGAACUAUUUUAAUACAUUAGUGUGAACGUUUUUAUUAUUGUGUGAACACCUAGAUGCCGAAUUUGAAUGGUCAUCUAUAUGCCUAUAAGUAUUUGUUUUCUUUCAAUUGUAAGGGACUUUUUGCCAAAUUUUUUAUUGAAUUUAAUCUUGUGAGAAUUUUCUUCUCUAAACUUUGUUUGAGACUUUGUUGACUUAUCUACCUAGUAGUGGAGUCAACCCUGUUUCUUUCACCCUUAUACCGAGGUUCCUACUUUGCUAAGUAGCGGGUCGAGGUUUUAUCACAUUCAUUCUCCAC
rnacentral:lncRNA from 1 species